UACAGAGGUCCCAAGCGUUGUUCGGAUUCACUGGGCGUAAAGGGUGCGUAGGCGGUUGGGUAAGUCUGACGUGAAAUCUCACAGCUUAACUGUGAAACUGCAUUGGAUACUAUCCGGCUAGAGGAAUGGAGGGGAGACUGGAAUACUUGGUGUAGCAGUGAAAUGCGUAGAUAUCAAGUGGAGCACCAGUGGCGAAGGCGAGUCUCUGGACAUUUCCUGACGCUGAGGCACGAAAGCCAGGGGAGCAAACGGG
rnacentral:rRNA from 1 species